AUGACCUCAGCCGCAGGUUUGGCGGAGCUGGCCGCCAGGAAGUACAAGCAGGCUGCCAAGUGCCUCCUGCUGGCUUCCUUUGAUCACUGCGACUUCCCUGAGCUGCUGUCCCCCAGCAAUGUGGCCAUCUACGGUGGCCUGUGCGCCUUGGCUACCUUUGACCGGCAGGAGCUGCAGCGCAAUGUCAUCUCCAGUAGCUCCUUCAAGUUGUUCUUGGAGCUGGAGCCGCAGGUCCGAGACAUCAUCUUCAAAUUCUACGAGUCCAAGUACGCCUCAUGCCUCAAGAUGCUGGACGAGAUGAAGGACAACCUGCUCCUGGACAUGUAUUUGGCUCCCCACGUCAGGACCCUGUACACCCAGAUUCGCAACUGUGCCCUCAUCCAGUAUUUCAGCCCCUACGUGUCGGCCGACAUGCAUAGGAUGGCGGCGGCUUUCAACACCACAGUGGCUGCCCUGGAGGACGAGCUGACGCAGCUAAUCCUGGAGGGGCUGAUCAGUGCCCGCGUGGACUCGCACAGCAAGAUCCUCUACGCCCGGGACGUGGACCAGCGCAGCACCACCUUUGAGAAGUCCCUGCUGAUGGGUAAGGAGUUCCAGCGCCGCGCCAAGGCCAUGAUGCUACGGGCAGCUGUGCUCCGCAACCAGAUCCACGUCAAGUCUCCACCCAGAGAAGGGAGCCAGGGGGAGCUGACUCCAGCCAACAGCCAGUCUCGGAUGAGCACCAACAUGUGAGGGGUGGACCUUGGCCUCCAGGACAUCUGCACCCCCUCCCCAUCUCCACGGACCUCCUGACCUCCAGGCGGCUCAGUGCUGCCUGCAACCCGGCUAAGAGGCCUGGCCACUGGGUGCCCCAGCCUGCAUGCCCUUGCUGGGGCUGGGGAGGCAGGCGGCUGCUAGUUGUGGCCCUUCUGGAAGGAGGACUGCAGGGCUCGACCCUGUGGGUUUCCGUCCCCAGGGAGCAGACUGCGGCACCCAGGCCCAGCCGCACCAGUUCCCAGACCCCUCCCGUUCCCGCCUCUGUCAGGUGCAGACAAGUGGGCGGUACCCAUUAAAGAGCAGACUGAGCAUUAAAAAA